rnacentral:tRNA from 1 species
GCCCGGAUGGCGAAACAGGUAGACGCAAGAGACUUAAAAUCUCUCGGCCGCAAGGCUGUGCGGGUUCGAGUCCCGCUCCGGGCACCA